AUAAGAUAUUUUGAAUGAAAUUAGUGUUUAACAUUUUCUUUAAACCACAUGGUGACCCCUCCACCUCACCUCCCUCACAUAACCCAAGGUCCCAAAUUGAGACUCCCAAUCCUAUAUUUGACAUUUUCUUUUCGUAUCCCAUAAGUCUCUCUAUCUCUCUCUCUCUCUCUCUUAUUUCCGAUCAGCCCGUAAAAAAUCUUGCCUUGAGAGAAGUUCCUUGAAACACAAAAUCCCAGAAAUCUUUCUGCCUCUUUCUCUCUCUCUUUUCCAGAAACCUCUAGCAAAGCAAUCUCCUCACUCCUCAGCGAAAUUUCCUAAACACACACUCUCUCUCUAGCGUUUUAGGCAUUUUUUUGCCCCUCUCUCUCUCUUCUUCUUUGAAAUCUUAGACACACCACACCCACACCUCACGUGACCUCCACCACAGUGGUGCACACUCCAGCGAGCACCAUCACCACAUGUGGACCGUUCCUCCUCCCUUUCUCACCUCCCGGUGAGCACCAUCAGGUAAUGGGAGGCCUUGUUUAGGCCGUACGAAGCGGAGGAUCCAUCAAACCCGAGCAGGUUUUGGGAUCCGGAGAAAAUGGAUUUUUCAUUUCCGACGACGGAGGCGCAGAUCUUGGGUCUGAGCCUGGAUUGCAGAGAAAGAUCUGGGGCAACUGCGACGACGCAGCCUCGGCUGCCUUUCCGACGACGGAGCCACGACGAUUGUUUCGAUAAUAUCGAAUAUAUUGCGAUAUUAUCGAUAAUAUCGCGAUAUUUUGACGAUAAUUAGGGGGAUAUAUGGGAAAAUAUCGGUCUCUCUGAAAAAUGAUAAUAUCGGCGAUUUUAGUCAUUGCUCAUAAGUCAUGAGUUCCUUCUAAAAGAAGUUCGAUUUUUCGUUUUAUUUUAUAUUUUACUCGUGUAUUGGGCAAGGGGUUAAGUUUUCCACUGACCCAGGGUCUAGGGCAUGACACAAGACCAUGGAGAGUUUAGCUAUGAUGUGUUGGAUGGCUUUGUUGCUGUUAAUGAAGAGCUUUGCUGUUGAGAUUAAGUUGUUCUUUUAAUAAGAUUAUGUUGCAGAACUAUAAAUUUAAUAGGUUUCUUUGAUUUUGGCACAA